rnacentral:lncRNA from 1 species
AAAAGUGUAAGAAAGAGAGUGAAUAGAGAAGAUGGAGGUGGAGCGUUCUUCGCCGUGCAACUGCGUGGAGCUUCUCGACGAUGGUCGCCACGACCAGGCCAUUCGCCUCCAAGAGUACUUGUCUGAUCCACAAACUCUUCUCCAACUCAAAAACGAUUCCGAACACAAGCUGUCCAUCACCGAUUACCAACUUCGUCUCGCCAAACUCAAAUCUCAACUCUACGUUGCUUCUGCUGGUUCCUUCCUUCUUAAUCAUGCAAAUAAUUUAAUGAUAAAUUGAUUGAUAAACUUUACAACUUAAUCAUGUAAUCAAUUUGUACUUUUUAUUUUAGAUAUCAAUUUGUCAGAUCAUCACACUUUUGUGGAUAAAUUUGAGUAUUUACUCUGUCUUUCCUAUCUCAUUUCUUAUUUUGAGUAUAUAUAUGUGUGUGUUAUAAAUCUUCCUGCAAAUAGUGUUCGGGAUUACCUCCUGCCAGCUACACAGAACCUGUUAAAAGAUUUGGAUGCACUGGAUCCAGCACACAAAAAGAAGCCAUUGAAAUUAUUAUAAAGGAAAGAUCUGGGGCAAGUGUUGGUGGUGGUGGUGCAAGCAAGUCGAUGGGUUCUCAUCUUGGGCUUGUAUCAUCAGUGAGCAACUUCUUUGGUGAUGGUGGCUUGCUUGGAAAGAGAGACAGCACAGAAGCACAGCAGCCAGAGAGAGUUGUAUCCCCCAAGGCUACAUCACAACCACAACCAGAGGACACUAGAUUAAGGCGCAUCAUGCUGGGACAUUUCACCUACAUACUUAGGACCAAGGGAAAAUCCCAAGACGAAAUUCACAACCAAUAAGAUGCAUUUUUCAAAUUUUUUUAACAAGUAGAAUUAUUUCCCAAAUAGGCAAGAUUUCUUUUUUGUUCUGUUUUGGGAAACAAUUCAAUCUUUUUAUAGUGAUUGUUUUGCUAUAAGAGCUGGAAAUGUCAAUAAAGUUUGCUUUUGAAGGAAUCAGUACAUGUUUGGUUUGUCAUUUAAAAUAUUGUGAAUGUAAAUUCAUGGAAUAAAAGGAGAAUAAAUAUAUAUACGUAAA